GGUUUUGUGGCUUAGCUGAGUAAGCCACCUGUCUAGUAAACAGGAGUUUCUGGGUUCAAGUCCCAGUGAAGCCU
rnacentral:tRNA from 1 species